UACGAAGGGGGCUAGCGUUGCUCGGAAUCACUGGGCGUAAAGGGCGCGUAGGCGGCGUUUUAAGUCGGGGGUGAAAGCCUGUGGCUCAACCACAGAAUGGCCUUCGAUACUGGGACGCUUGAGUAUGGUAGAGGUUGGUGGAACUGCGAGUGUAGAGGUGAAAUUCGUAGAUAUUCGCAAGAACACCGGUGGCGAAGGCGGCCAACUGGACCAUUACUGACGCUGAGGCGCGAAAGCUCGGGGAGCGAACGGG
rnacentral:rRNA from 1 species